rnacentral:rRNA from 1 species
AGAGUUUGAUCCUGGCUCAGAUUGAACGCUGGCGGCAUGCCUUACACAUGCAAGUCGAACGGUAACGCGGGGCAACCUGGCGACGAGUGGCGAACGGGUGAGUAAUACAUCGGAACGUGCCCAGUAGUGGGGGAUAGCCCGGCGAAAGCCGGAUUAAUACCGCAUACGACCUACGGGUGAAAGCGGGGGACCGCAAGGCCUCGCGCUAUUGGAGCGGCCGAUGUCAGAUUAGGUAGUUGGUGGGGUAAAGGCCUACCAAGCCUGCGAUCUGUAGCUGGUCUGAGAGGACGACCAGCCACACUGGGACUGAGACACGGCCCAGACUCCUACGGGAGGCAGCAGUGGGGAAUUUUGGACAAUGGGCGCAAGCCUGAUCCAGCCAUGCCGCGUGCGGGAAGAAGGCCUUCGGGUUGUAAACCGCUUUUGUCAGGGAAGAAAUCCUUUGGGCUAAUACCCUGAAGGGAUGACGGUACCUGAAGAAUAAGCACCGGCUAACUACGUGCCAGCAGCCGCGGUAAUACGUAGGGUGCAAGCGUUAAUCGGAAUUACUGGGCGUANAGCGUGCGCAGGCGGUUGUGCAAGACAGGUGUG